rnacentral:rRNA from 1 species
UCCUACGGGGGGCUGCAGUGGGGAAUAUUGGACAAUGGGCGAAAGCCUGAUCCAGCCAUGCCGCGUGUGUGAAGAAGGUCUUCGGAUUGUAAAGCACUUUAAGUUGGGAGGAAGGGCAUUUACCUAAUACGUAAGUGUUUUGACGUUACCGACAGAAUAAGCACCGGCUAACUCUGUGCCAGCAGCCGCGGUAAUACAGAGGGUGCAAGCGUUAAUCGGAAUUACUGGGCGUAAAGCGCGCGUAGGUGGUUUGUUAAGUUGGAUGUGAAAUCCCCGGGCUCAACCUGGGAACUGCAUUCAAAACUGACAAGCUAGAGUAUGGUAGAGGGUGGUGGAAUUUCCUGUGUAGCGGUGAAAUGCGUAGAUAUAGGAAGGAACACCAGUGGCGAAGGCGACCACCUGGACUGAUACUGAC